CAAUGCAGCGUAUCCGACGCCGACGCCGGCGACGAAGCGACCCCCCAUGAGGAAAGCAUAGUUUGUGGCAAACCCCAUGAGCAGCGCUCCGGCGAAGAAGAUGGCCCCGGCUAACACGAUAGUGUACCGGCGGCCAAUCCAGUCGGAGGUUCUGCCGGCGGCCAGUGAGCCGAUGAGUGAGAAAAUAUUCAAGAUUCCAAUUAAGAUCUCGAUUUUUGUGUCACUGACUUUAAAGUCGUCUUUGAUGUAGAGUGCAGCUCCACUCAUUACUCCAAUGUCUACAAGAAAAGAACACCAAAAAAAAAUAAUAAUAAUAAUUAAUUAAUGCAUGCAGAACCAAUCACGCAUGCAUGAAAUAAAAUCUUAUGACAGCGAGAUUCGAACUCUUAAUUUCUUAUACUAAUUUAAACAGUUUUUUUUCCUGUUAAACCGACUAACACCCACACAAAACUUAUCCACUUUCUGAGAAGAUUUUCUUCACAAAGAAACCUUAUUACUUCCAUCUCCAUGAUGCAUGUUUCGUGAAUCACGAUGUAAAGCAAACUUAUAGAUAUAGAUACAAGAAAGGGUUCUUGCAAAGUUAACUUACCAUAACCUAGUAAGAUUGAAGUCAUGGAAGCCAAAAUGGCAGCGCCGGAGGCAUACAGAUUUCUUUUUGGUUUCUUUUGGGGAUCAAAAUCCGCAAGAGUUUUUUGGUUUUGAGGGUCAGUAUUGUUGUUGCUCUUGGCUCCCAAGCCUGCAGCCAUGUUGUUGCUAAGCUAGCUAGCCAGAGAGCGAGAGAGAGAGACUGCGAGUGUUUAAUUAUAUAAGCUAGGGUUUGGAAGAAGAGAUAGAAACUCAAGCUGCCAUGAAACUACUACAAAAACAAGAAGCCUUGUGUGUGAAGUGUAUGUUUAAUUUGCUGGACAGUUUAGGUUAUAAGCUUAUUAUAUAGAGCGAAGCUUACAUCAUUGCUUGGACCAAAGAGUCCAAAUAAAAGAGAAGUUAAUUAUUAUUUGAUUAUUUGUCCUUGUUUCAUUUUCACUCAUUGGUAAAGCCAUGUGAAUCUUUAACCCUGUUGGGUAAAAUAGGAUAGAAGUGUCAAUCUUGCUGUGCAUAUGUGAUAUAUAAAAACUGAAACCAAUGUGCUGUUUUUUUUCUUUUUAAUUAUUUAUAUUCUCAAUAUAUUAAUGGUUGCUGCUUGAUAUUUAGUAUUUUAUGUAUAGUUUUGAUCGAAAGGGGAUAAUGGGUUGUUAAUUAAUAAUGCUUUUUUUAAUAUUUAUUUUUAGAUAUGAAAUGAUAAUAAUAUUAGUUUUUUAAUUCGACCCACUUGUUUGCCAGCGAGCAUCCAAAAGAACAGGGGAAACGAUGCAAAUUGGCGGUGGCCCCCAAAAAUAUGACAAAAUUUGCACUGGCGUUUCAUACUUUCAUUGAAUGAGGGUCGAAGUUUUUUGUUGUGUUGUUUUAGCUUGAUUUUACAACACGUUGUGUCGCUGUACUGGGAAAGUGCUUCAAGAUCUCAAAAUUAAUUAAUUAUACGUUACAUUAAUCGUAACGUAGUACUGGCCUAUAUAUAUAUAUAUAUAGUAGCUUGUUGAAAGUGAGAUUAGCACAUUUCCUUUUAUUUUUUAUAGCUUUAUCUUAAUUUUUACAAUAUUACCCUUUUACAAUAUUUUUUUGGAUAUUAAUAAAAAGAAAAAUUUAAUUAUCAAUUUAAUCUCAAAAAAUAAAAUAGAAACAAAAUUAAUAUAUGUUACUUUUUUGUAACACAAUGCUAAGGAAUUAAUAUAUUUUUUUUAUUACUAAUGUCCAAAAAAAUAGGUAAUUUAAUUAUUUUUACAAUAAUUUUUUUGGACACAUGUAAACUUUCACAAAAAUUAAUAUAUUUUAUUUUAUUUUAUUUUUAGGGUUAAAUUGAUAAUUUAAUUUUUUUCUUUUUAUUAAUUUUAUAAAAAGAAACAUUAUUGUAAGAGGGUAAUAUUGUAAAAACAAGUCAAAAGAAACAAAAAGUAACAGCAGGGAUGUCAAUAAUUUAAGGGUAGGGAUGUUUUGAGGCAUUUUGAAAAAUAUAGGGACUAAAUGGACACUAAUAUUAAAAUAUAGGGAUGAAACAAGCUUUUACCCUCUUCAUUUUUUUAAGAAUUAAUUUGAAAGCUUUUUAAUAGAAUCCUACUUACAAUUUGGUUGGCAAAUAUAUUUCUUGGGAUCAUCUAUAUGGUUAGCUUGAAUUAAUAUGAGUUUGAUGUUCUAAAUAAUAUGUUAGUUUUAUAAUAGUGUAGAAAAGAUAUUUGGAUCUAAAAUAGAUCAAAUUUAUUUAUAAAUAUGCACACAAAAGGACUUCAAUCUUUACUCUAAUUCCCUAAAGAAUGAAGCGAGGAAGUGACAAUCAAUUAAUCAAUGUCAUUUAUAGUAAUAUUAAUUUUACUUUUUAGAAACUAUUACAAACUAACUCUAGAUCAAUCUAACUGUGCUCGCACUUCAUGAUGAUAUUUAAACACACUCCCUGAGAGUAUAACGAAUUCCAUUCAAAUUAAGUUAAAACUUAAGUUCUCAAAUUCUUAAUUGCUAAACUAGUAUCUAGGCAUGUCACGCUUAAUGCCUCUUACAAAAUCAGUGAGCGACGAGAAUAUCUCAUAGCAUCCCACAAAAAAGAUUAUUAGGAAUUCGAAAUUUGAACGUGUUUUUCUAAAAUUUGGAAACGUUGUUUCAAGUUGAUAAGGUAAUUUUAUUGUUAUGAAAUUAAAUUGAUGAGGAGUAGAGACCUAAAAUUCUAGAAAAAUAAUUAAAGAAAACAAGAAAAAUCAAUAACGAUAGCAAACAUGAUGCACGUUAAUUACCAUCUUAGGCAACGUUUGCAUUUUGAAAAAAAAAAAUGUACAUUAAUUCAAGCACCAAGAAGGCAAUUUUUUUCCCCACACCUUCGAUUGAGCAUGUGAUUGGUUUGUGCGACAAAGGAAAUGGUAGCAAGCUGGCUUUAGUUUUCGGUUGUUGGAAAACAUAGGCCAUCCUAACAAUUGAAAAGCUACAAAAAUCAACUUGCAGAUAGUAGAUAUUCUCCGGAAUUGUUAGCUUACGAUAUUUUUGGAAGAAUUAAUAAGUGAAAUGCAUAGCCAAUUAUCUUUUUAGUUUUCUAAUUAAAGACACAUGCCCUUAAUUAGUACAAUAUUUGUAUUUACACAAAUAAUUUGACUAUCAGAGUUUUUUUUUUUUGUCCAACUUCGGCAAAGGGGGGAAGCUUUAUUAAGAAUUAUAAAAAGAAAAACAGAAGAUUACAGGAACAAUGAAUUUUACUCUUUAAAAUUAAACUUAAUGUUAGAAAACAAAAUAACCUAUGUUAGUUUCCGAGAAUAAUCUUUUUUUCUUUUUUUGUUAAUAAGACAUCACGUUUCCAUACAAAACAUCUGAAGAGAUAGAGAGAAUGAGACGAGUUCCCUAUGCAGAAGCUGUGGGAAGUCUCAUGUAUGUCAUGCUUUGCACUAGGCCAGACGUCUGUUUUACGCUAUGGAUGGUUUGCAGAUAUCAAUUUAAUCAUGGACCUCAAUACUGGAAUGCAGUCGAGCAUAUUAUAAAGUAUAUGAAAAGAACUAAAAAUUAUAUGCUUGUGUAUUCUGGUGAUGAACUUAUUCCAGUGGGUUAUACUGAUUCUGACUUUAUGUCAGAUAAAGAUUCCAAAAAAUCAACUUCCGGCUAUGUGUUUACAUUGGGAAGUGGAGCUAUUAGUUGGAGAAGUGUGAAACAAUCUUGUAUCGCAGACUCCACAACUGAAGCUGAAUAUAUGGCUGCAUCCGAAGCUGCAAAAGAAGUUGUAUGGCUCCGCAAGUUCCUACAAGAUCUUGAGGUGGUACCUGCUGUAACUGCACCCCUUAAACUAUUUUGCGGUAAUAGUGGUGCGGUAGCUCAAUCUAAGGAACCAAGGAACCACAAGAAACAAAAACACAUUGAGAGGAAGUAUCAUCUUAUAAGGGAAUAGUGUAGAAAGGUUAUAUGACAGUACCCCGAGUGGCAUUAGAUGCUAAACGGCAAAUCUUAUUACAAAGGCCAUUAGUGGGAAACCUUUAUAACCUACACUUAGAGCCCUAGAGCAUGUGCAAUAUGUUAGAUAUGCUUUAAGAGUUAGUGGGAGAUUGUUGGGAAAAUAUGCUCUUUAAAAGUAUAUGUAUUUAUUUAAUUGUAAUAAAUAUUUUUCUGAUUAAUAAAAUUAAUGAGGUAUUUUAUUCAAAUAUCUUAAUUGCAUUAAUAUUUUUAUUAAAGUCCAUUUAAUCGUAUUAUAUAUAUUUAUGUGAUCACCAUGUGGAUUCACAUAAGACAUAAAUAUAAGUUAUCUUAUGAUUAAAUAAAUUUAGUUCGCAGUUGAUAAAUAAAGUUGGGCACUUUAUUUAGGUAUAGACUGUAAUAAAUUCAUUGAAUGAUUUGUCUUAAUCAUGUAUGAAUUUAUUGAUGUAGUACGACUACAUUGAACAGGAUCACAUAUGAGAUUUAAUUAACUUUGUAAUAACUGUCAGACUUAUUAAAUCUCAUAGGCAUUGAUUUAUAACUAGCUAUUUGGGUCAAAAGCCUAAAUAUAUCAUUUAGUGGGAGGCUCCAUUUAAUUAGCUUGUGUGUAAAGGGUCUUAUGUAAGUUUACAAGGUGGGUCCCCUAUAGAAAAAGCAAGUAACGUGAGUUUUGUUUUUCAUUAUUUGGAGUCUAGGGUUUUCACUAAAGGAAGAUAUAAAAAGACUUAUUUUCUCUAAAGAAAAAGGUGAGCAGCCACUUUAUACAGAUCAGAGAAAAAAUUUCUCGUGCUAGUUGCUUUGGUAGUGAUAAAGGCGCCCACACGUCAAGUGCAGAUCAAACUUGAGUUAUAACCUGGAAGAUCAUUGGUGUCAGUUCGUGUUCUAACAAGCGUGGUGGUGACGGAUCAUGAUCUAACAGGAGUGGUGGUGACGGAUCGUGAUCUGGGAGCCUAAAUCACUUCUGCGGAAAAAGUCAAAUCGGAUUUUCAAGGUACGAUUUCUAGAUUACGUAUUCUUAUAUAUUAUAUGAGAGCGAUCUUAAAAAAGUUUUAUAAAAAUUUAAAAACUUGUAUUUUUCCCCAACAAUUGGUAUUAGAGCCAUCUCAUAUUAAUAUAUAAGAAUAUUGUAUGAAAUCAUUUUUGAAAUUUAUGUAUUAGAGUGGCACAAUUUAUUCAUAUAUAUAUAUUAUUUGUUUAAUAUAUGAAUAAAGCAUGUUUUGGUUUGUCUUAAUUUAUGGUUAGAUUUUCUGCUGUAUUUUUCAUUUGGAUCUGUAACAAGACGGGUGGCUUUUCAUCACCAUGUUUCCCUCUUGAUUUAUUUUACUGUAAUGGAAAUUUUGUAAGCCAAAAAUUGGCAUAGAAAAUUUGUAAAUCACUGAAAAAUCAUCACUAGAAAACGAGCUCAAAGCGACAGAGGCCGGAAAUUUCGACAGCGACCACCGACCAGCGCACUCGCUGCAGCCAAUGUGCAGUACACGCUAUAAGCGCAUGCUGGCAAUGCAUGCAGCAGGCAGCACACGCUGCCAGCAGCGCGCAGCAAGCGAUGCGCGUAGCCAGCCUGGCUAGCGGCGCGCGCAGUAGCAGCGUGCGCUCCAGCAAGCAUCGCGCGCAGGGUUGGUUUGUUUCCAGUGUUGAUGGCGUGGCUGUUCGGUGCAAAAAUAGCGAACAAUGGCUGUUUUUUUGGAGAUGGCGGCUGGGGAAGAAAGGAAAGAGAAAAAGAUGGAUUUAGGGUUUCAAUGGUUUCUAUCAUUGAGGUCCCUAUGGCUCCAUAGUUUUUUCUUUUGGGCAGACAUGUUUAAAUUUUUUGCAUUUAAGUCCAAAAACAGUUUUGGGCUUAAUGAAUCAUAGCUUUAGGCCCAAUUUCAAUAAGGCUUAAUGGUUUAAAAUGCAUAGAUAAAAUUGAAUACAUUAAAUUUAUUUUUGGUCCAAAAGUUUUAUUUUAAUAAAUUUAUUUAUUUAUUUAUUUCCUUUUCAAAAUUAAAAUUGGAUCAAUUAUAAAUUUAAAAGCCCAAUUUCCUCUAGUCCAUUAAAGACAAGCUUAUGGAAGAUGGACAUUGACAAGAAGCCCAAUGAAGAUUAGGCUUAGGGUUAAUGUAUUUUUCAUUAUUAAGAAAGCCAUGAAUUAAGAUUAUUUAAUUAUUUUUCUAUAUGUUAUGUUUUGGAUGAAAACAUGUCAUGAUAACAUGUCAUAUAGAAUAGGUAGUGCCACUCUAUGCAUAAUGAUACAUGUCAUUCAUUAAUUAUGAAUCUCGCUAUAUUGUUUGUAAUUUGCAUAUGCUUAAUAAUAUUGGAUAUCAUCUAGAUAAUAUUAUAGGAAGCAUGCAAUUAACAAUAUGUAUGUUUUAAAAAGGAAAAACCAAUUUUUAAAAUAUUGAGUGGGAGAGGGAAAAUUCAAGAUAAUUUUUCCCACGAGCUCCAUUGUUAGUUCAAUAAUAAAAUUAUAUAUAUACAUCGACUUCAUGAUACGGUGAUGCUCCAUACGGAGGGUAUAUAUAUUAGAUAUUUUAUUUGAUGAACUUCUUCAAAAAUAAAAUUGAAAUAUUUUUUCAAUCAAUUGUUCACCCCAACGGCGACUAUUGAUAUGAAAAAUACGUAGAUUGAAACAAUGGUUAUACACUCAACUAAAAUUUAUUAUUAACCUUCCCAACGAAGCUCUGUUAACAAAUUUAGGCCCAAAUGGAUAACAAUAAUUAUUUAUCAUGUCUCUACAUGAAAGUAAAUAAUCCAAUGGAUAAUUGGGUCUAGUAAGUGUAGACGUAACUUCCCCAACGGAUAGCUUGUCAAAGCGGUACUAGAUUAUCGUUACAAUAAAUUAAAAUGCAUUUAUUUUUUUUGCAUUUUUGUCAUUUAUUGUGAAUUUUGUUUCAAAGUAUUUAUACAUGUGCAUUUUGUUUUUUUAGAAAAUGUCUUCCAUCAACCCAUUAUUAAUUAUCCUUGUUAAAAUGAACUCACUGACGAAAAUUAUUUAGAUUGGAAACACAAUCUAUUUAAUAUUCUCACUGCUAAGGGCUGCAAAUAUGUGUUGACCCAGCCUUGUCCUCCUGAACCAUCAUUAUACGAUUAUAGAAAUCAGAGGGAGCCUUAUAAGAAAUGGUGCGAAGCUAACAAAAUGGCUAAGCGCUAUAUAUUGGCUUCGAUUUAUGUGGAACGACAUAAGAAACAUCGGUGCAUGGAAACAACCACUGGAAUAAUGGCUAGUCUUCAUCAGAUGUUUGGGCAAAAUACUCAUUUUGCUAGAGAAGCAGCAUUAAAACGUAUUAUGGAUACUAAGAUGGAAGAGUGCACAAAAGUUCGUGAUCAUGUCCUCAAAAUGAUGGAAUAUUUGAAUAAGGUAGAGAUUCAUGGUGUUCAAAUAAAUGAUAAACCAAAGAUUAACAUGGUGAUUGAAUCUUUACAUGAUACAUUAAAAGAGUUUAAGGUCAGCUAUAUCUUAAACAAUAAAGAUAUGACCUUAAUUGAAAUAAUGCACGAACUACAUGCUAUAAAAGAAUUUUAUCAUAGCAGCAAACUUCCUGAAAAAGGAUUCUCUUUAAGGCUUAAGUCGAAAGACAAAAAUGAGCAAGCAAGAAUUGGGAUCGGCAAACUGUCCACUAAAAGAAGUGGCAAGCCAAAAGGCAAGUGUUACAAAUGUGGACAGAAGGGUCACUGGAAGAAAGAUUGUCCUAAGAUUAUUAAAAUCAGGUAUAGGAAAUCUUUAAGCUUCCUAAUUAGUUCAGAUUUCUAUUGAUUCAUACAAUAAUGAAUUCUGAGAUAACUAAUCUUAUUUGUAAUUCAUUUAUUUGGUUUUCAGGAAACCAAGAGAUUAAGUGAAGAAAGCUUCAAACAGCAGUUGAGGACAUGCUAGUUUAUAUCAAUUGAAAGGCUAGAUUAAUUUUAAAAGACUUAAAGUUUUGAUAUUUGUCUUUAUUUUUCCAAAUAUUGGAGGAAUUUAAUUUCGGUGACUUGUUUUAAUAAACAGGAGUACACUAUUAUUUUUUGAUCCUCUGUUUAUUAUUUAUUUUGGUUAUUUAUAAAGACAAUUUGUAUCAUAUAAGUCCAUUGAUCUAUUCAAAGCAAGAUAUAAUGAUAAAGAGUAUAUGCAUUUAUCUAAGAAAAGAAAUGUUUCUUAAAACCAAAAUCACCUCUGAUAUUUAUGCUAAAGUCAUAUAAACUAUAAUAAGAGUUUAAGAAAAUGAUUAAUGAUAGACUUGUUGGCCUAUUAAGAUUGAUCAAUGUAACUCUAUAAAUCUUAUUUAGAAAAGUAAUAUGACGAGGAUGCUCGUUUAGAGCUAAAAGCAUAACAUUGUAUUUGAUGAUUUAGCGCAUACAAAUGUAUACAGACUAAUCAGUUUACAUGUUAUAAGAGGUUAUGAGUAUUCUAUUAAUCUUGUUGAUGGAUAUUUAUUUUUUUUUUUAUGUUUGUCUAAAUGCAUCAUGAUUCCAUUGCUUUUGAAAUUCAAAAGAGUACGUGGAUAAGACAGAAGCAAUUAGACAGGAACAUAAAAGAACUUCGAUAUGAUUGAAACAAAGAAUAUCUCUAUGGAGAAUUCAAGCACUAUUUGGUUGUUAAUGAACACUAUGAUACAAUAGUUUAAUUAAAUGGAGAAACAAGAUUCUUUUAGAUAAAACAAGAUAUAUACUAAGUGGUUUAUCAUUUACCUUUUUGAUUCAAAAUACUAAUAUUUAAUACUACAAAGUUUAUUGAACUUAGUUUCAUCUAUCUUGGUGUCUACUACUCCAAGAAAUUAUGAAAAAGUCACAAACAUGGUUUGAGACACAUUCGUAUUUGGAGUUUACUAGUAUUUCUACUAGAAUCAGAGGUAGAGAAGAUGGAUUUGUGUUCAGAAGCUUGCAUGUUUAAGGUAUCUUAAUGGAAUAAAGGAAAGUCUGAAUUAUAGUCCUCAAGAUAGGAAUGUAUUUGUGGACAUAUUCUUUACUUUCUUUGAGGAAGACUAUAUAAUGACUUCUUACCUAAGAGUAAGGUAAAACUAGAGAAAUAAAAAAGGUGAUCAGGUUGAUGCUCAGCUUUCAACGCCUGUUACAAAACAAGAAGAACAACAACAACAAGAUGAUCAACACAAGAUUAUCCCUGAACAACUAUCACUUUUAGAACCUCAUUGUAGUGGGAGGGUAACUAGGUUACCUGCGAGAUACAUGCUUUUAGGAGAAACCUAUACGGCUAUCUCAGAUGAACAUGUACAAGAUCUCACUAGUUACAACGAAGCUCUAAUAGAUAGAGAUGUUGAAUUUUGGAAAAAAUGCCAUGAAUCAAGAAAUGAAAUCUAUGUAUUCUAAUAAAGUCUGGGAAGUUGUAGAGGCACCAAAUGGGGUAAAACCUAUAGGGUGCAAGUGGAUCUACAAGAGAAAAAGAGGAGUAGACGGAAGGGUGGAAAUAUUUAAAGCAAGAUUAGUAGCCAAAGGGUUUACUCAGAAAGAGGGAAUCGAUUAGGAGGAAACAUUUUCUCCGGUUGUUAUGCUUAAAUCCAUCAGGAUUCUGCUCUCAAUUGCUGUAGUGCUAGAUUAUGAAAUUUGGCAAAUGGAUGUCAAGACUGCCUUUCUUAACGGGCAUCUUAAAGAAAACAUCUACAUGCAGCAACCAGAUGGAUUUAUACAAAAAGGCCAAGAACACAUGGUAUGUAAGUUGCAGAGAUCAAUUUAUGGAUUGAAGCAAGCAUCUCGGUCAUUGAACAUCAGAUUUGAUCAAGCGAUUAAAUCGUUUGGAUUCAUUCAGAACAUUGAUGAACCAUGUGUGUACAAGAAAAGUCAAGAAAAAUCUAUAACCUUCAUAAUUCUUUAUGUAAACGAUAUUCUCCUAAUUGGAAACGAUAUAAGAGUAUUGACUACAAUAAAGAGUUGGUUAGCAAAACAAUUUGAUAUGAAAGACCUUAGAGAGGCAAGUUAUAUUCUUGGUAUCAAGUUACUACGAGACCGGAAGAAUAAAACUUUAGCGUUGUCUCAAGCGGUCGCGGUAUGGAUGGUUUGCAGAUAUCAAUUUAAUCCUGAACCUCAAUACUGGAAUGCAGUCGAGCAUAUUAUAAAGUAUAUGAAAAGAACUAAAAAUUAUAUGCUUGUGUAUUCUGGUGAUGAACUUAUUUCAGUGGGUUAUACUAAUUCUGACUUUAUGUCAGAUAAGGAUUUCAGAAAAUCAACUUCCGGCUAUGUGUUUACAUUGGGAAGUGGAGCUAUUAGUUGGAGGAGUGUGAAACAAUCUUGUAUCGCAGACUCCACAACUGAAGCUGAAUAUGUGGCUGCAUCCAAAGCUGCAAAAGAAGCUGUAUGGCUCUGCAAGUUCUUAUAAGAUCUUGAGGUGGUACCUGUUAUAACUGCACCCCUUAAACUAUUUUGCGAUAAUAGUGGUGCGGUAGCUCAAUCUAAGGAACCAAGGAACCUGCUGUACGGCCAAGGCGGAUAAAUCCACCUUGGCCGUACAGCAGAAAGGUUAUAUGACAGUACCCCAAGUGACAUUAGAUGCUAAACGACAGAUCUUAUUACAAUGGCCAUUAGUGGGAAACCUUUAUAACCUGCACUUAGAGCCCUAGAGCAUGUGCAAUAUGCCAGAUAUGCUUUAAGAGCUAGUGGGAGAUUGUUGGGAAAAUAUGCUCUUUAAAAGCAUAUGUGUUUAUUUAAUUAUAAUAAAUAUUUUUUCUGAAAAUGAUCAUUAGAGAAAACCAGUAAGUAUCAAGGAAUAAGAUUUAAUUAAAUUGAUUGGACAGUUGAGAUAUCAAUUUAAUUAACGAUGUGGUACAAAUGAUUGUGCAGUAAAGAAAUCAAUAUGGCUUGGGACGAAUUAUUAUUCGAGCAUACAAUUAUGGAAGUCAGUUCCAAUCUUUUAGUGGAGUAGAUUUGGAAUUAAAUAAUUGGGCUAGUUUAAUUACAGGCCUAAUUAUUGUAGCCACUAUUGUAUGUUCCCAAAUGAUCCCCGGGUUAGCUCAUUUAAUUGACUGCACCACUACUGGACUAAUAAGUAAGAUAACUAGCUAUUUGGGUCAAAAGCCUAAAUAUAUCAUUUAGUGGGAGGCUCCAUUUAAUUAGCUUUUGUAUAAGGGGCCUUAUGUGGAGGCUCUAUUUAAUUAACUUGUGUGUAAGGGGCCUUAUGUUAUUUUACAAGGUGGGUCCCCUAUUGAAAAAGAAAAUAACGUGAGUUUUAUUUAGGGCAUUAUUUGGAGCCUAGGGUUUUCACUAAAGGAUGAUAUAAAAGGCUUAUUUUUCCCAAAAGUAUAAAAAGGCUUAUUUUCUCUAAAGAAAAAGGUGAGUAGCCACUUUAUACAGAUCAGAGAAAAAGAUUUUUCUCUCUAUUGUUGAGAGAAAAAUUUUCUCGUGCUAGUUGCUUUGGUAGUGAUAAAGGCGUCCACACGUCAAGUGCAGAUCAAACCUGAGUCAUAACUUAGAAGAUCAUUGGUGCCAGUUCGUGUUCUAACAAGCGUGGUGGUGACGGAUCGUGAUCUAACAGGAGUGGUGGUGACGGAUCGUGAUCUGAGAGCCUAAAUCACUUCAGCGGAAAAAGUCAAAUCAAAUUUUUAAGGUACGAUUUCUAGAUUACGUAUUCUUAUAUAUUAUAUGAGAGCGAUCUUAAAAAGAUUUUAUAAAAAUUUAAAAACCUGUAUUUUUCCCCAACAGUAUAGAUAUAAUUUUUAGUGUCGAUUGAUCAAUCACACUUCUACAGCUUACUGCAUCAGCAGGUGAAAGAAGGUGUGAAUUUGGUCAUAUAGAUACAACUGACAUGACAUUAUUUUUUAUCGAACCUUUUCGUUGUAUUAGUUAGAGAUACUCUAGUGUAGUGUUUUCUUUUAGGAAAAUGAUGUUUGCCCCGAGUCAAACUCCGAAAACUCAAAACGCACCGUUUCACAACUAAAGCCAAGGAACAGUGCGUUUUGCUUGCCUAUUUCCCCUUUACUUAUUUGUUUCCCAUCUUUCACUUAACUCUUUCCUGUAUCAUUUUCUCUGGCUGCUUAUGAAGAAACAACAAAUUUGCUCACAUCAAGUUCAAAUCAUCAUCUUCUUCAAAGAUGCCAAGAUCCUUUGCUUUUCUUUUCUCCCGCAAGAAAUCGCAAACACUUACCUUCAAAGAUUACUACACAAACUGGUGCAACACUCUGCAAAAAACCCUCAUCCCUCCCUCUCAUUCAUAAAUCUAUUUCUUCAUCUUCUUCGCAAACCCUCCUCUGAGUAUUGUUGUGUUCAACUCUCUCCCGUAAAAAAAACAGCUCGAAAUAAUGGAGAAGCAGGAUAAUUUCUAACUCAGGAUAAUUUGCCCUCUCUCUCUCUGUAUUUACACACCCACGCACUUGUGCAUGUAUAUCUGACAGAUAUGAGUAGCUGCAGAAUCUGUCUAAAGAGGCUGUUAUGGGUGAUGCCUCACAUGCUUUUGUUCAUCUUCAUGCUAUGCUUGUAGCAGAUAAGGUGAGGAAAUUGUGGUGGUUUAAAGUUUUGGAUUCUUAUGCUAGGUUGAUUGUACUUCCUAAUUCGCGGUAAAAUUAUUAAUUUGAGAUUCAUUUAUUGUGAGUAGUUGAUUUCUUCUUCUCCAAAUUCAACCUUUGUAAAAGCAUUGCAGUAUAAGGUUGGGAUAUACAAACAAAUGCCCAGCUCAUUAAUCAACAUUCAAAAUGCAAUAUAGAAACAAAUACUCAGUUAAUCUUGUUCUGCCGAAACUUCACAGUCGAUAUUGGUCUUGUUCCGCAGAAACUCAGCUUAGUAACUGAAACUCAGCUGAAGAAGAGAGACGCAGGGAUUCUGCAGAGUCAUUUUGCAAAUGCUAAGUCAAACGGCAACGUUUUAGAGAAGUAAAAAAAAAAAAAAAAAACAAACGGCGUCGUUUUAUUUUGUUUCGGGGUUUGACUCGGGGCAAAUAUCAGAACUCUUUCCUUUAUAAGACAAGAGGCCAGUCUGAUGUCGGUGUUCGUUACUUUGUCCUAGUGAUAAAUGAUAAUAGAGUGACAAAAUUAAAAAACGUGUAGGAUUUGCCAAUUGCCACCGUCUUACUCAAGCUGCAAAACCAUUCAUCAAUGGGCAUAUUAACAUUAAUGCAUGGACGGUAUAUAAUAAUUAGGAUGAUGGGUCCCUGAAACGUGAUCUCUCAAGAUAUCAAGCAGGUGCGCUGUCAGCAUGAGAUUGAAAUUCCCAGCACAGACCGAUUAUGCGCUGAUCCAUGUAUUGAAAACACCACAUCAAAUGCCUCAUUAUUUGAUCGCUUACGGGCGCUCGUAUCUUGCAUUUUCAUCUCUUGGUUUUGGUAAUUAGGGUCGUAUGGUUGCAUGUACAUUUGUUUUAUUUAAAAAAAAUAUGAAAAUCUUGUUACUUUGUAGACCUUAUUAUGUACUGAAAUCUUUUCCUGUUAUGUCGCUUCAAAAUGCACAACUUAUAUGGGUAAGUUUUACUAAGACAAAUUUCCGAGGAAUUGAAAACCUUCAAAGUUAAUACUAUUGUCUUACCUAAAAAACCAAAGAAGGUUACUUAAUUUACAGCGUCAGCUUGUUUUGAUCACGCAUUUCACAAUUCACACACCAAGAAAAAAAACAUUAAUAAUUACGCCUUUUUUGGAGGGGACCAUUCCUUCUUUAGCUGAUAGUUUGGUAAAAAGCCCAUGUCCGAAAUUUUAUUAUAAACAUAUCAUGAUUUCCGAAUUAAACUAAACUAGGAAAAGGCAACAUGCAUAAAAAUUGCGAGGUCUCUUUGUUUCUACUUCAAAUAAACUUUAUAAGCAGUCAAUUCAAUCGACCGUCGACAUAUGCACGAAUGGACCACUUAUUCUAAAAGCCACAUAACAUAAACCACAUAAACUAAUCUCUUUUAUUAUAAAAAGACGAAAAUUUAUAGGUAAGAAAGGGCAUAGCCAAGCAAAAAUUAUAAUAAUUUCUUCAAAAAAAAAAGAAAAAAUUUCCAAACAAAACAAAAAAGAAAAAUAACCAUCACCAUUCACCACCAACAAUGAAGUGUCCAAGCGCAUGGCAAUUUCAGCCCCAAAUGCAUGCACAAAGACACUUUGUUGAUCACAACAUAUAUAUCUAUCUCCUCAAUAAUUGGAGCUUUCCCACUUCCUCAUAAUUUAUUUUGCCAUUUCCACUAAUUCAUUAAUCAUUAUAACAAGAGUUAUUGAAGUACAAUUACGUUCUUUGGUAUCUUGCAUUUUCAUCUCUUGGUUUUGGUAAUUAGGGUCGUAUGGUUGCAUGUACAUUUGUUUUAUUUAAAAAAAAUAUGAAAAUCUUGUUACUUUGUAGACCUUAUUAUGUACUGAAAUCUUUUCCUGUUAUGUCGCUUCAAAAUGCACAACUUAUAUGGGUAAGUUUUACUAAGACAAAUUUCCGAGGAAUUGAAAACCUUCAAAGUUAAUACUAUUGUCUUACCUAAAAAACCAAAGAAGGUUACUUAAUUUACAGCGUCAGCUUGUUUUGAUCACGCAUUUCACAAUUCACACACCAAGAAAAAAAACAUUAAUAAUUACGCCUUUUUUGGAGGGGACCAUUCCUUCUUUAGCUAAUAUUUCGGUAAAAAGCCCAUGUCCGAAAUUUUAUUAUAAACAUAUCAUGAUUUCCGAAUUAAACUAAACUAGGAAAAGGCAACAUGCAUAAAAAUUGCGAGGUCUCUUUGUUUCUACUUCAAAUAAACUUUAUAAGCAGUCAAUUCAAUCGACCGUCGACAUAUGCACGAAUGGACCACUUAUUCUAAAAGCCACAUAACAUAAACCACAUAAACUAAUCUCUUUUAUUAUAAAAAGACGAAAAUUUAUAGGUAAGAAAGGGCAUAGCCAAGCAAAAAUUAUAAUAAUUUCUUUAAAAAAAUAAGAAAAAAUUUCCAAACAAAACAAAAAAGAAAAAUAACCAUCACCAUUCACCACCAACAAUGAAGUGUCCAAGCGCAUGGCAAUUUCAGCCCCAAAUGCAUGCACAAAGACACUUUGUUGAUCACAACAUAUAUAUCUAUCUCCUCAAUAAUUGGAGCUUUCCCACUUCCUCAUAAUUUAUUUUGCCAUUUCCACUAAUUCAUUAAUCAUUAUAACAAGAGUUAUUGAAGUACAAUUACGUUCUUUGGUUACUACUUACAUAGAAAUUUAGUCACAUUAUGUCAAUCGAAUCAAAUAAAUAAACUUGAAUAUGUCUAUCGAAUUAAAUACGAUUACAAAAGGUUUUAGGCAUAACAUUUUUGCUCAAUUCCAGAAUGACAAUUGAGGCAUUAGAAUCAUCAUUGCAAUGCGAACCAAAAUUUUAACCAUUCACGCAAAUUUUAAAGAGAUAGGAAUUAUAAGAAGUAUUAUAUCUAUUUGAUUCAUAGUGCUUCAUUUUCAUUGCAUAAUGACUUCUUCAAUCGCCCAUUAGUGAUCAGCACACACACACCACGACACAGUAUUGAUUUUACAAAGCUACACCAAGAUUUUAAAAAGCAUCGUAUUUACUAAAAUACCCUUCAGUUACCGUUAGAAACCGGCCCUAACUGAACGUUACUCGCACUGUCACCGUUAAUCUCGUUGGCUUUGUUCCUCCUCUUCUCUCUCUUGGAAUCCCUCAGCCAACGGAAAUUACCAAAGAGCGCCCCCAUCUCUUCAAGGGUUUUACCCUGCGUUUCGGGGAGACACGUGUAGAAAAACACCCACGCAACUGAUGCAAUUGACGCGUAUAGAAAGAAGGAGCCGCCAAUCGUGAUCGCUUUACUAAGCGAUAGGAAAGUCAUCGAUACGACCCCACUUGUUACCCUGUUUACCAUGACCCCGAUACUCGCUCCCUGAGCGCGUAGCUUCAACGGCAGAAUCUCUGAACUGUAAACCCACGUGAUGGGACCCAUCCCGAUUGAGAAAAACGCCACGUAGGAUAAAACCGUUGAGAUGGCCAAACCAAUAGCCCAGAUCAUCUUUUUGUGUGACUGAUCUAUGACUGUGAGAGAGAUAGCAAGGGUCGCGAGCGAGGCGAUCAUGCCCGCAACACUGCUCAAAAGCAACGGACGCCGUCCGAUUUUGUCGAGUAAAAACGUAGCCACUAGGAUGAAAAUGGUCUUGACAAAUCCAACGGCUACAGUAGCGAGCAACUUUUUGUCUGAUGACGCAAUCCCAGCUUUUUCAAAGAUUCUAGGACUGUACAGAACGACAGCGUCUAUGCCGGAUGCUUGUUGGAAGAAAUGAAUACCAACGGCUGCGACUAUGAUGUGACGAACGGCUGGUGUAGGACGGACCAGCAGCUCUUUCCAUACGCCUUCGCCACGGUUGAUUUUCGGUACUUGAACGACGUCGUCGUUGCAGUCUUCAGGAAUGCCGGCUGCUUCUUUGAUAUCGGCGAGUCUGAGCAUAGACUCCUCUUUCGAGUCCGAGGUUUUGUCGAGAACUUUCUUUGCAUCGGCGAGUCGGCCUUGCAUCACCAGCCAGCGCGGAGAUUCUGGCAUGGCUAACACGCCGACGGCGGGAAGCACCGACGGAAUGGCGCCGAUUCCGAGCAUCAUGCGCCAGCCUAAGUGGAGGGGUAGUUUGGAGAAUCCGUAGUUCGAGACGUAGCCAAGUAAUAUCCCGCCGUUAAUGAAAACCUGAAACGUUGAAAAGAGGAUAAUAUCAAUAAACCCCUUAUAUUUUAUUAUAUUUAGUUAAGUGUCAAAUAUUAGCUUGGUUUUUAAGAUAGGUCCUAACACUAGUGAGGAGACUAGAGAUUACUUUAUUUAAUUAAUACGUCAGUACGUCACGGAUUUAGGCGAUAAAAUCUUAAAAUACAAAAAGAGAGAAACGCAUUUAUACCGUUACUCAUUUGAGUGUUUUGAAGGGUUGUACUUCAAAACUUUGGAAAGUAAAAGUAUCAUCCGUUCAAAAUUGUUUCUGUUUUAAGAAACAAGAAAGCCAUUUCCAAAAACAAGAAGAAGAAGCACAAACCUCAGGAAAUGAGGUGAGAAAGCCUCGAGUGGAAGCCGGAGAGAGUUCAGCUGUGUAAACGGGAGCGAUCAUGAGAGCGUAUCCGACGCCGACACCGGCGACGAAGCGACCCCCCAUGAGGAAAGCAUAGUUUGUGGCGAACCCCAUGAGCAGCGCUCCGGCGAAGAAGAUGGCCCCGGCUAACACGAUAGUGUACCGGCGGCCAAUCCAGUCGGAGGUUCUGCCGGCGGCCAGUGAGCCGAUGAGUGAGUAAAUAUUCAAGAUUCCAAUUAAGAUCUCGAUUUGUGUGUCACUGACUUUAAAGUCGUCUUUGAUGUAGAGUGCAGCUCCACUCAUUACUCCAAUGUCUACGAGAAAAGAACACCAAAAAAAAAAAAAAUUAAUUAAUUUAUGCAUGCAGAACCAAUUACGCAUGCAUGAAAUAAAAUCUUAUGACAGCGAGAUUCGAACUCUUAAUUUCUUAUACUAAUUUAAACAGAUUUUUUUACUGUUAAACCGACUAACACCCACACAAAACUUAUCCACUUUCUGAGAAGAUUUUCUUCACAAAGAAACCUUAUUACUUCCAUCUCCAUGAUGCAUGUUUCGUGAAUCACGAUGUAAAGCAAACUUAUAGAUAUAGAUACAAGAAAGGGUUCUUGCAAAGUUAACUUACC
rnacentral:lncRNA from 1 species